UACGGAGGGUGCGAGCGUUGUCCGGAAUCAUUGGGCGUAAAGGGCGCGUAGGUGGCCCGGUCAGUCUUUGGUGAAAGCGCGGGGCUCAACCCUGCGUCGGCCAGGGAUGCUGCCGCGGCUCGAGCACUGUAGAGGCAGGCGGAAUUCCGGGUGUAGCGGUGGAAUGCGUAGAGAUCCGGAAGAACACCGGUGGCGAAGGCGGCCUGCUGGGCAGUUGCUGACACUGAGGCGCGACAGCGUGGGGAGCAAACAGG
rnacentral:rRNA from 1 species